CCCUUAGAUGUUCUGGGCCGCACGCGCGCUACACUGACGGAGGCAGCGAGCAUGUCCUUCGCCGAGAGGUGUGGGGAAUCUUGUGAGUCUCCGUCGUGCUGGGGAUAGAUGGUUGCAAUUGUCGAUCUUGAACGAGGAAUUCCUAGUAAGCGCGAGUCAUCAGCUCGCGCUGAUUACGUCCCUGCCCUUUGUACACAUCGCCCGUCGCUACUACCGAUUGGAUGGCUUAGCGAGAAUUUUGGAUCGGAGCCCGGGUGGUCGGCAACGGUCGCCCGGGAGAUCUGAGAAAUCAUUCCAGCUUGGUCAUCUAGAGGAAGUAAAAGUCGUAACA
rnacentral:rRNA from 1 species